CUACGGAGGGGGCUAGCGUUGUUCGGAAUUACUGGGCGUAAAGCGUACGUAGGCGGACUGAUCAGUUGGGGGUGAAAUCCCAGGGCUUAACCCUGGAACUGCCUUCAAUACUGUCAGUCUUGAGAUUGGAAGAGGUGAGUGGAAUUCCUAGUGUAGAGGUGAAAUUCAUAGAUAUUAGGAGGAACACCAGUGGCGAAGGCGGCUCACUGGUCCAAUACUGACGCUGAGGUACGAAAGCGUGGGGAGCAAACAGGAUUAGAAACCCUAGUAGUCC
rnacentral:rRNA from 1 species